rnacentral:lncRNA from 1 species
CAGGGGCGCGGCUGAGGGCGGCGCUCGAGGCCCGAGUGGCCGCAGGUGUGCGCGGCGCCCCGCGAAGGCUGUGAGGUGCUGAGGAAGAGGCAGCGUGAGCGCAGGGCGCCGCCUCGGUCCGCCGCGGUUCCUACGGGAAAUGUUUGCGAAGGCCGGGGCGGCCCCUCGGAGCGCACCUGCCCCAGGGGUGGUGUGGAGACGCACCGAGCGCGGCCCACCGGGCGGAUGAGCCUCCCGGCCCAGGUGGUAGCGAGCGGGCGGAGGCCGGGGGGCGGGGGGGCUCACGUGCCGCCCGAGGGUGCGCCGCGGGCUCGCGUGUGAGGACCUGCCUUCCACCUGCCGGUGGCGUUCGGAGCCCCAGCCUGGAGGUCCGCGGGAGACCCUGUCGGCGCACGAGGAGGGAUCCGGAAAGGCCAGGCCGGAGGCCGGGAGAGGCCCUGGGAGAUGCUGGAGUCCGCGGACGUGAGCGUGGCCCCGAGUGGAAGUCGGUGCGGAAAGUGAGAAAGGACCUGGGCGAUCCGGUUAACAUUUCUAGCUUUCUGGCCUGAGCCUCUGGAGUGGAGUGUGGUUCCGUUUACUGAACUAAUGAACACAGGAGGAGGAGCUUUGGACCGACGAUAAUACGUUUAGCUGGGUUUGCUUUUAAGAUGUAACUUACCGUAAAAUUUAAAGCGUAUAAUGAAUUUUCACACAUUCCCAAGGUCGUGCAGUCAUCACCACGUCAUUCCCGAACAUCUUGUAACCCCAAAUAGAAAUCCCUCCCCACCCAGGAGCAGGUACUCCCCGUUCCCCUCUGCCCAGCACACCACUGUUCCGGGGAUUGGCCUAUUCUGUACAUUUUCUAUAAAUGCUGUUGUGCAAUAUGCAGCCUUUUUUUUUUUGUCCAGCUUUUACUUAGCGUAAUAUUUUUAAGGUCCAUCUAUGUUGUAGCAUGAAUUGGUUCUUCAGUUUUCUUAUAUGUAUAUUUUAUUUAUUUGGCAGAGAGCAGAAGCAGGGGAAGCAGCAGAGAGAGAGAGAGAGGGAGAAGCAGGCUCCCCGCUGAGCAGGGAGCCAGAAGCCAGGCUGGAUCACAGCCGGAGCCAAAGGCAGGCGCUCAACAGACUGAGCCACCCAGACACCCCUGGUUCUUCACUUAGUGGCCGAUGAAGCUUCCCUUGUAUGGAUGGAUAUUCCACAUUCUCCACAUCAGUUGGUGGAGUUUUGGCUGUUUUGAAUAAUGCUGCUGUGAACAUUGUGGUAGGAGUUGUGUGUUUUUAGUUCUCUUGAGUAUAUACCUAAGUCUACAAUUGCUGGGUCACACUACGUUUAUGUGCUGAGUGUUGAGUUUCAAAUGUGAAUAGGACUACCAAGACCUUUUUCUGUAUGGUUUUGGAAACCGAAGUUACUUUGUAAUACGGUUUCUGAUUGGGUUAGUUUAAUAAAUAGCACAAGAAGAGUGGCCGCACAGAGGCAUGGUUGGGGUAGACUGUCUCAUUUAUACUGCAGAGUUUUAAUUUAUGAGGGUGAGUGGGUGACAACACACAGCGGCCAAUGCCAUUGGAAGAAUUUAUUACAUUUCCAGUGAAAAGAGGGUAUGCCACACUACAUGGGACCACAGGGAAGGUUCUGGUCAGGAGACGGGAAAGCCUAGGUCAGAGCCUUUAUUCCUUGAGAAAGGCAAGGCAGGCCUGAGAAAACAGUUUAGGACUGGCUAGUUUGAAUAAUUCUGGUGGGCUUUGGACUAUAGGGGUGGUCUCUAGUUGCUUAGUCCCUGACCCUGGGAUGAUUUAGGGCCAGAGAAAUCAUUGGUUUGGUCUGUGAGCAUUAAAGGAGUUGAUUGGUUUGCUUGUGAGAGGCUGCUCCCAAUAAGUUGAUUAUCAUUUUUAGGAAUUAGCGAGCCCUGGGAAGGGCAGUCCGGUCCCUGUCCCAUCCCCACCUCUACCAGCAAGGUUUUUAAGAUGUCAAAACAUUGUAAGGUACAGAAAAAUUUUUUUAAUGUAAUUAACACACAUGGUUGGGUUGAUAGGAAGGCCAGUCAUAAAGGUGGUGAUGAUUUUUCUGUAGUCAGAUUGGAAGUGCAGGGCCUGAGUCCAGUUUAGGAUUCAAAUGUCGGGAUCCCUGGGUGGCUCAGCAGUUUAGCGCCUGCCUUAGGCCCAGGGCGCAAUCCUGGAGACCCGGGGUCGAGUCCCACGUUGGGCUCCCUGCAUGGAGCCUGCUUCUCCCUCUGCCUGUGUCUCUGCCUCUCUCUCUCUAUCAUGAAUAAAUAAAUAAAAUCUUUAAAAAAAAAAAAAAAAAAAAAGGAUUCAAAUGUCUUGGAGGCCCAGGGAAGAAAACCCUCCCUCAUGGAAAAAAAAAAAAAA